UCUUUGUGAAAGAAAGCAAAUUGCUACGAUUUUUAGCUUUGAUUUUUGUUUCUUAAUAUGUCUUUUGGUUUCUGCUGCUGUCUUACAUGUGUUUGAUGUCUCUUUGGUGAGGAGUUCCGAAGGUAAGAUCAAUUACUGAUUUUUCUAGAUUUAUUUUGCUCCAUUUAAAUAAACUGAGAUUAUAAAUUGAAGUAAUUAGAAGGUAGUUGCUCUUGCUUAUGUCUAAUGUUGAAACGAGAUAAUAAAAAGACUGUGAUAGGAGGAUUAGUAAGAGGUUAUCUGCUGGGGCUUGCUACUUGCCAAUGAGAAGAAAAAUCUAAAUCAUAUUCUUGUGUUAUUGUCGUUUGUUUUUGUCCUAUGGUUUGUAUCCCUCGAGUGUGGAAUGAUUUUAUCUUUCCAAGGAGAUGGAUUUGCUAUGUAUUCCUUGCAACACAGGGAGUCUAAGAUUAGUUCAAGGACCCUUGUUUCUUCUGAGUAGUAAGAUCUUCCUCGCAAUUGAUUUGGCUUUGGACUGCAAAGAUACAGAGACAGAUCUUUGGAAUAUAAUAUGUAGGGAUGAGUACAUGGCAUAUGAUGUAUCUUUUUGGUUGCUUGUAUAUGAUUGUUUUUAAGUAUAGUGACAUCCACUCUGUUUCUCUUUCUUUUUGGUUUCUUUGAUUGCA